CUCCAGCCAUGCCGCGUGAGUGAUGAAGGCCCUAGGGUUGUAAAGCUCUUUCAACGGUGAAGAUAAUGACGGUAACCGUAGAAGAAGCCCCGGCUAACUUCGUGCCAGCAGCCGCGGUAAUACGAAGGGGGCUAGCGUUGUUCGGAAUUACUGGGCGUAAAGCGCACGUAGGCGGAUACUUAAGUCAGGGGUGAAAUCCCGGGGCUCAACCCCGGAACUGCCUUUGAUACUGGGUAUCUCGAGUCCGGAAGAGGUGAGUGGAAUUCCGAGUGUAGAGGUGAAAUUCGUAGAUAUUCGGAGGAACACCAGUGGCGAAGGCGGCUCACUGGUCCGGUACUGACGCUGAGGUGCGAAASGUGGGGAGCAAACAGGAUUAGAUACCCUGGUAGUCCACGCCGUAAACGAUGGAAGCUAGCCGUUGGCAGGUUUACCUGUCGGUGGCGCASUAACGCAUUAAGCUUCCCGCCUGGGGAGUACGGUCGCAAGAUUAAAACUCAAAGGAAUUGACGGGGGCCCGCACAAGCGUGGGAGCAUGUGGUUUAAUUCGAAGCAACGCSSAGAACCUUACCA
rnacentral:rRNA from 1 species